UCUCCAUUUAAUAGGGGUGAC
rnacentral:piRNA from 1 species